rnacentral:lncRNA from 1 species
GGGGCACUGAAUUCUUGCUAGAUUGGAGGCUGAGGAGACGUGUGUUUGUGAUCGAUUCAGCACUAUAGUUGGGUUAGCACUUGAGGUGGGUUUAAUUAAUCAAAUUUGAUGGAAUUCCCACUGUGUACUAAAUUCCUGCAUACAUGCUAUCUACUUAUUCAAAUACAUGCUUAUAAUCAAUCUACUCAACCAUAUUGGCAUAGCUUCAUGUUAAAUAUUUUGUAUAUCGGAAACUUUUAGUGAUGAUAACCUUUUUUUCGAUGAUGUCAGUUCAAAUCGACUCAAAUUUAUGCAUUGAUUUGUCGGAGUUGUGUUUUUUGACUAGCUUUUGUAUCCAUUUAUUUGGGGAAGGGGGACGGGGGGUGUCUUGCAAAUACUUAGUUAUUUGACAUCAUGCUUUUGAGGUUUUGUCUAGAAAAAACUCUUGCCUAUUGCCUUUCCUUCGGCAUGAUUUGCCAAAAAAAAGAAAUUCCUAGAAUCCGCAAGUACCUUUUUUGUUCCUGUAUGUUUUCCAAAAAAGAUAACAAUCAUGUUUCCUACAUUUUCUUGCUGGCUGUAGGUUCUUUGUUGCUCUUUGUAGAUGUGUUCUGUGUGGUUUAUAAUAAUGCUUUGUCAUUUCUAGGGUACUUUGGCUUCGCCUAUUUUUGUGCAUGCUAUGAUGACUGCCUCUUGCUUUGUCAUUUCUUGGGUACUUUGCCUGCGCCUCUUUUUGUGCAUGCUAUGAUGACUACCUCUUGAAUGCCAUCAGAACCACUGCUUUGCUACAUUGUUAUUUUACUAAUAUUACUUAGUUUUGUUUAUUCCUUACUCUUUCUAAUUUUCUUGCUUUUUUUUAAAGCUAUGAUGAUAAGUAGAGGGAAGUGUGGAAAAAUAUUGUCUUCGAACGAGUGAAAGUUUCAACGGCCUACUCAUAGGCAACCUUUUCCUACUGUUGUUAUUCUUAGUGCUUGCGCACAUUUCCCUCCGAUGGUAAUCUACUGCUCAACAACCAUUUCCUACUGCUCUUAUCCUUUGUAGUUGCGCACUUUUUCUUUCUACAGUGACCUGUUGUUCCUACUACUGCCCUAUGCUUAUGAGCAGUGUUGCCGACCCUACUUAACUGAGCCUUAUGUUUUUGUGCAUUUUUUUAAGAUUGUUUGGAUUGUUUUCUUUUCUCCUCCAACGCAACCCUUCCCCCCCCCCCCCUUUCAUUUUUUCAUGAAUCAUUAUAUUAUAAUUUAUACCGCUGUUUGGUAUGAUUCUUGCUUAUUUAAAAUUUUCCUUUAACGAAGAAGCCGAUGGACGGAUAAGUUGUGGGCAACUAGCUUUACAAAUAUUUGUUUGUAGUUUACUUGGUUGUGCUUACGUUUACUAUUCCUUUCUUUGUUUCAGAUUAAGUGUGGUACCUUCUGAUGGUCUCCACUGCUUCGAUACAUUGUUAUUUUACUAAUAUUACUUGGUUUCAUUUAUUCCUUGUUGUUUCUUUCUAAUUUUCUUGCUCUUCUUCAAGGCUAUGAUGAUAAAUAGAGGAAAGUGUCGAAAAUAUUGUCUUCGAAUGAGUGGAAGUUUGGAUGGCCUACUCAUAGGCAACUGCUUCCUACCAUUGUUAUUCUUAUGAUUGCACACAUUUCCCUCCAAUGGUAAUCUACUGCUCAGCAACCAUUUCCUACCGUUCUUAUCCUUUGUCAUUGUGCAACUUUUCUUUCUACAAUAAUCUGUUUGUUCUGUUUUCUAUUUGUUCUUUGUUGAAUUCAAAUUGAAGCCGAAUUUCGUACAAAUUAGAGCCACUUUUCGCGUGCUUUUGCCGCAAACUUCUGGGUCAUAUUAGCACGUUUCUGGAUGCCGCCGACAGCAGCAAGGGCUGCUGCCAGCAGCAGCAAAGGCCGCUGCAAUGACAGCCUGCAGUACCAGGGACUACUGCCGCUGCAGCAAGCGGCAGCAGGGGUUGCUGCUGCUGCUGCUAUUGCGGCCAGCAACAGCAGAGUCUGCUGCUAUGGCUGUUGCCUCAGAUAGUGACAGCAGCAGGCGCUGCAGCAGAUGCAAUAGUUGACGCAGUAGCAGGAGUGGGCACAUUGUUCAACGAGUGGUUCCGCUGAAGUCACAGCAGUAGUGGCUCAAAUUUGGGCUCCAAUUGCGUCCAAAUUCACCUCAUUUUGAAAUGGAAGUUGAUCCAAGAAUGAGGAUGACAAUGAGCUUCAAGUUGCACUUUGUUCCAUUUGAAAUUAAGAUGAAUUGGUAGACAAGUGAGUUAAUUAUUGAAGAGAGUGGGAAAUUCAGAUUUUGAUGGAUAUUUUCUAACGAUGAAUUGGUAGGCAAGUGAGUUAAUUAUUGAAGAGAGUGUGAAAUUCAUAUUUUGAUGGAUAUUUUCUAAUGUCUUCAUCUAUUUUUUCCCUAAUUGAGUUGUAGGCAUAAAAUUGAUUUCAUUUUGGUGCCCAACUGAGGAAGAGAAGCCUGUGGGCUGUUUGCAGCUGCAUUGGUUCUAUUUUUUUGUAUCAAAAUCUUUCGAAUGCAUAUAUUAUCGCUGCUGAUUUAUAAAUUUGUUUUCUUUUUCCUGGCACUUUUUUUUUUUUGUGUGAGUACCUCAAAAAGGUGCAGGCUUAUCUAUGCUUUUAUGCAAUUUUCGUCUUCAGGUUUCUGCUCUUUUCUUAUUUUGUUAUGUCUUUAUGAGAUAAAGUAAGACCCAUUUUUAAAUCCAACUUUCUACCUAAUCUUACAUGUCGUGCUAGGGUUGGUAACCGAUGUAUUAUAAAAAGACCUUGAAUUUUUUUCCUGCAGUGUUAAGUUUCAUUCUAUUUCCUGCACCAGUUUCUUUUUUGCAUAUCUUAUUGAGUUUUGUAUGUAUUUUGUAUGAAUUCUUGAUUUGUUUCCCUCAUUUUUUUUUCCUCUCUUAAUCUUUUUCCUGGGGUUUUGAUUAAUUUAGUCCAGUUGGGGAUUUGUUUGUCAUUAAAUGGAAUAACUUUGUAUGGCCUCCACUACUUCUAUACAUCGUUAUUUUACUAAUAUUACUUUGUUUCCUUCAUUCCUUGGUGUUUCUUUCUAUUUGCUGGCUCAUUUUUGAGGUGGUGAUGAUGAGUUGAGGCAAAUGUGGGGAUUGCUUUUUCUGAACAAGUUCCUUAAUUUCUUGGUUAUUUUUUCUAUUUGAUGGUCCUUUUUUGAGGCGCCGAUGAUAACUUGAGGAAAAUGUGGGAAUUUUUUUGCUUCGAACAAGUUGAAGUUUGGAUGGCCAGGUCAUAGGCAACCACUUCCAACUGUUCUUAGCUUUGGUGGUUGCGCGUUUCUUAUCCUUCAUGGUUGCCCACAUUUCCUCCUGCGAUAAUCUAUCAGUGCUUCUAUCCUGUGCUUAUAAACAAUGUUGUCGAACCAACUUGACUGAGCCUUACAUUUUCCUUUUCUUUUUUUUUUUUUACUUAUUAAAUUUUUUUUUCCCUGUUUUCCCCUUACCUUUUUUUCUAGGUCAUUAUAUUAGAAUUUAUAUCGUUGUUGGGAUUGGUUCUUGCUUAUUGAUUUUUAAAAUAAAAUUUAUGUGAUUUAGAAUAACGAAAUAUAUUUGUAAUUAAUAGUAAUUUUGUUAAUGGAUUUCCGUGGCAAUGAUGAUAGAUGAAAGAAAUUUGGCUUAAGCUGUCCUCUUGGCCCGUAGGAGUGCACACUCCUAAUUAAAUACACCUUUCGUCUUAGCCUUGAUUUAUUUUCUCCCGCAAUUUAUGAUUUGCUUAUAUUUUUUAAAGCAAAAAAA